AGUUCUCCUACCCUCCAUCAAAAUGACACGGUCUUCUGUAGUAAUGAUGGCUAAGAAAGAAGAAGAACUGAAGGAAAUAAGGGCCAAGACAACUGAGGAAAUUAAUGAAGAGGUUGUUGAUCUUAAAGGUGAACUCUUGAUGCUUCGUCUUCAGAAAUCUACACGUAAUGAGUUCAAGUCUAGUGAGUUUCGCCGUAUGCGCAAAAGGGUAUCUCGCUUUCUCCCUUAUCCAUUGUUUUAUAUCUUUCUUCUUGCUUGCUAGUUCAAAUUAUGAAAUACUCGCUUCUGGUUUUGCCUUUAAAUUUCCAUGGAACGCUUGAAAUUUUGUUUCUUUUGAUUACUAUGUUGGUUUCUUAGUUGCUUGUUUUUGAGGCCGGAGUGAAUUGGAAAUAAUGAUGGCAACAAGUGUGCUUAGGGGGGGCGAAAUGGGAUUUCUGAGUUGUUUUGGAUAUUUCAGCUUCUGCUGUGUGGGGGGAGUAGGCUCCCUGGCCGCAUUGCAUCGUGAUUAGCUAGGACUGAAGUGUUUUUGGAUGCUCGUUGCAAUUUAAUUACUAGUAGGAGAUUGAUAUGAGAGGCUCUUGACUUUUGAUGUGAAGCCCUGUGAUUUCGUUGUACAACUUGAGUUUUAAGCCCUAAACAAUGGUUGAGUAAUCAAUGAGAUCAUAUAAUGGAAUCAGAUAACUUCAUUUCUACUUUCUGGUGUUUAUGGCUCCCUCCCCAUUUGUGAAAGAGGAAUUUUGAUACACCUUACUGUGGAGCCAUGAAAGUGUGGAAUGGGUUCCGUUUAUUUAUUUUUGUGUAGACCUUCCUUGCAUGUUUUUCUAUAUUUUAAUAGAUGACAAAGCUCAGAAGUUCUGGUAAACAAGUAAAAUAUGAGGCUCCUGCUUUUCUUUUAUACAACUCCCAACUUCUCUUUGUUUAAUAUGUUUUUUCCAUUGCUCUUUAGUUCAAAUUUGUUUGGUCAAUUAAUUGGAAAGGGUGUCUUGGGUAUCUGAAUCGCUAAUGGCAACAAGAAUACUUAAGCAGAAGGGAAUGCAAUUUUUUUGGGACAUUUUAGGUUUUUCUUUGUAGAAGGACUAGAAUACAUCACUGUAUUGCGUGGUUGUAAUUUGUAAGUGUUAUGUCUGAAAUAGUUUCUGCGGGAACUGAUGUUUUGGAUACUUCUUACAAUUUAACAAACACAAAAUUUUCUGAAAAAGGGAAGUAAGGGAUUUAUAAUAGAGGUGGAAGCUUGGUUUUUGAGGUGCAUACCUCUAUGCUUCAAUCUUUAUUCUGUAGAAAUGUCAAUGGAUGGCUUGAGUGUGACUUCUAUGGUGGAUUUUGGCUGUCUAGUUAUCAUGUCAACGGUAACCAGCAGAAUAAUUUUAGUUGGAGCAAUCAUCGAAGCAUAUUUCCAAUUUGGAUAUCAUCAACUUUAUUUUACUCGCUGAUGUUCUUGGCCCAGCAUUAUGAAUGAGAGGAAUUCCAUUAACAAUGUGGAAUUUGUGCCUUUUGUUUUUCAUAACACCUUCCCACCAUUUCCUUCUAUAUUUGAUAAAUAAAUAAACAUAAAGUUUUGGUAGAUGCAUGAAACAUGAGCACUUGUUGUUUUUCUCGCACGCUUUUCUUUUUUCUGUUGGAUAACCAGACAUACUUUCUUUAAACCAUUUGCUGCUUGUAUGUAUGACCUAAUAUCAUGGCUUUCUAAGUCCUCGUCAGUAAUUUAUCUUGCCAUGGAAUUCUUAUGUAAAUGAUUAAGUUGGAAAGUGUGGUUUCAUUUCGUUCCAUUAUCUUCCAUUUUUUGUUUUAAGUCUUUGGGGUUGCUGUAUUUCUGGAUUUGGUAGUAUAUUGUUACCUUGGUUGCAACCUCGAAACAUGCUAAUGUAAAUGUUGUUAUUCUUGCCCUGUCUGCCAUCUAGUAAUCAGGGAUCUUCUUUGAAACAAUGAGAAUAGUAAUAUUCGAAUGCAUUAUCAAGGUAAGGAGUCAAAUUUUUCUGCAGGUCACCUUAAACUACCUGUGUAUUUUACACGUACUCUUUAAAAGGGAGAAUGGUUCUAGAGGUUGACAGUCUGGCACUUGGAUGGAAAUCCAAAUGGUCACUAGCAUAAGUCCAUGCAAUAUGUGUCAGACUGAAAGGCAGAAACUUACCGUACUAUUUAUUUCAUGUCCAUGGCAUGAAGUUGAAUACAAUGAGGCUCCUGGAUGUAUUAUGGGACUGGGGCAUACAGUUUAAGAAAUAGUUUAAGGCCAUGACAUGCUACAGUACAGUAUGGAGUGACAAUGACUCUCUGCAAUUCGUGUAGCUAUUCUUCUACCGAGUGUCAUUGGUUGCAUGCCUACUGAAAUAUAAAUGACCCAUAUGGUAUAUCCCUGACUAGUGCAGAAAGGUGAAAUGGGUCUAUCUGUCAGCAAAUGUCUGGGAUAAGGCUGCGAGAACUUAAUUAUGCUCCAAGGAAUAACUGGGCGGGGGAGUAAGAGGACUGGCCAAAGGCAAAAUGAUGCUUCUAAGUGUGUAUUUCAACUCAAUGGUUUUUGAUGGGUAGUCUUGUGUAUGUACUAUUUAACAUAAAGUUGGAGCUGUACAUUUAAUGGUCAUGACACCAUGGCAAUCAAUAAAUCCCAUCUAAAUCAUUUGCUUGCUGACAUAUAUUCGGCAGCCUAAUUUGCUGGAGAUAUAAUUGCAUCCUUUUGAAAUUGCUUAGAGAUUUUUUGUUCUUCCUGUGGCUGGAGAUAUGUUAUGUGCUAUGUGCCUUAUUAAGUACUAGUUUGUGCAGUCAAGCAGCAAGCCAGAUGGGGAUAUGACUAGAUGCCACCUUUACUUGUAACUAAGAUGUGGUGAAAUGGCUGCUGUGUUCAAGUAUUUUGUAGGUUCCCAUUUUCCACAUUUUCACUUUCAUGCGUUUUCUGUGUGCUCAUCACAUAUUUUAUUAAAAUACUGAAGUUCAUUUAUCAUUCUGAACCUUUUUCUGCGAGAAUGAUGUGCCUUUUCACAGUGAAGUUCGCAGCCGAUGCUUCAAGGCUAAAAGUAGUACCCUCCCUCGUAAUUCAGUAUUGACUGAGUGUGUUUUAUUGAUUGCAGAUUGCUCGCAUGCUUACUGUUAAGCGGGAAAGAGAGAUUGUGGAGGGGGUUGGGAAGAGGCUGUCAAGAAAGUUGGACAGGCAAUGGAAGAGAAGCAUUGUUGUUAGACCACCUCCAUCCUUGAAGAAAUUGCAAGAGGAAGAGGCAGCUGCAGAAGCUGAAAAAUCUGCUUGAGCCAAUUGUAUUGUAUUAUUCCUCAAUGAAUUUGAUGUAAUUUCAUGAC
rnacentral:lncRNA from 1 species